GCCUACAACAUAGCGUUAAUGCACUGGAUCCCAUUAGAACUCUGUAGUUGAGCAUGCUCAAGAUAGAGUAAUACUGGGAUGGGUGAUCAUUUGAGAAGUCCUAGUGUUAUAAAUG
rnacentral:rRNA from 1 species